rnacentral:rRNA from 1 species
AACGCUGGCGGCAUGCCUUACACAUGCAAGUCGAACGGCAGCACGGGAGCUUGCUCCUGGUGGCGAGUGGCGAACGGGUGAGUAAUACAUCGGAACGUACCCAGUAGUGGGGGAUAACGCACCGAAAGGUGCGCUAAUACCGCAUACGACCUUAGGGUGAAAGCGGGGGACCGUAAGGCCUCGCGCUAUUGGAGCGGCCGAUGUCUGAUUAGCUAGUUGGUGAGGUAAAGGCUCACCAAGGCUUCGAUCAGUAGCUGGUCUGAGAGGACGAUCAGCCACACUGGGACUGAGACACGGCCCAGACUCCUACGGGAGGCAGCAGUGGGGAAUUUUGGACAAUGGGCGAAAGCCUGAUCCAGCAAUGCCGCGUGUGCGAAGAAGGCCUUCGGGUUGUAAAGCACUUUUGUCAGGGAAGAAAUCUUUUAGGCUAAUACCUUGGAAGGAUGACGGUACCUGAAGAAUAAGCACCGGCUAACUACGUGCCAGCAGCCGCGGUAAUACGUAGGGUGCAAGCGUUAAUCGGAAUUACUGGGCGUAAAGCGUGCGCAGGCGGUUUGUUAAGACAGUCGUGAAAUCCCCGGGCUUAACCUGGGAACUGCGAUUGUGACUGGCAAGCUAGAGUACGGCAGAGGGGGGUGGAAUUCCUGGUGUAGCAGUGAAAUGCGUAGAGAUCAGGAGGAACACCGAUGGCGAAGGC